UCCUCUCAUGCCGUCCUUGAAUGGUGCAUCCUGGCAUUAAGUUGUCGGGGUGAGAGCCGUUCAUCGUUUACUGUGAGAAAAUUAGAGUGUUCAAAGCAGGCUUAUGCCGUUGAAUAUAUUAGCAUGGAAUAAUAAGAUAGGACUUUGGUACUAUUUUGUUGGUUUGAGAACCAAGGUAAUGAUCAAUAGGGACAGUUGGGGGUAUUCGUAUUCAGUUGUCAGAGGUGAAAUUCUUAGAUUUCCGGAAGACGAACUACUGCGAAAGCAUUUACCAAGGAUGUUUUCAUUAAUCAAGAACGAAAGUAUGGGGAUCGAAGAUGAUUAGAUACCAUCGUAGUCUAUACCAUAAACUAUGCCGACUCAGGAUGGGCGGGUGCAUUUUUGCCUCGUCUGCACUGUAUGAGAA
rnacentral:rRNA from 1 species